CGAACCUACUCCCUCCUCUCUCUUUCAUCGUUUCCCGGCGAAGCGAAUUGCCGCCAUCAAGAGGCAUCAUCGUCUCUUCUCUCUCUUUCCUCACCUCUUCUCCUUCCCUUGUACCCCUCUUUUCCUGGAGAGACCAACCAAGAGGAAGCGAGCCCCAUCUAGUAGCAGCGGCGAAGCAACGAACACCAGCUGCAACCAGCAACUAGGCGAUCCAGCUUCGUCUAGAGCUCCGUUCAGCAGCUCCACGCAGCAGCUUUGCCGAAACAUUCUCCUCUCCACGAAGACGACAACAACAACACCAACCAGCAGCUCCGAUGAUGACCACAAACAUGAAUCCUUCACAACUCAAGGCAGCAAGAUCCGGAAAAAUAUUUAAUGUUUUAGUCGUUUGAAGACGAAUUUCAACAGAUCCGUCAAGAAAGGUUAGAGUUUUGGAGAAAGAACGCAAGAGAAGAAGAGAGGAAAGGUUAGAUAACAUUGGGUUCGUUCACCCAUGUGCCAGAUGCAGAUAACUAGGAUUGACAUUCCAGUGCACCGUUUGAUCCAAUGAUCAAUUCACGGUCAGUUGGUGAGUCUCCUUGCUUUUCGGAGGACUCAUUUUCAUUGCUUUCUAGUUUAGUUCAUUAAGAUGUUGUGGGUUCUGUCCCAACAUCUAUCUCAGUUAUUAGAGGCUUCAUAGAUAGUAACACAAAUGUUAGUUCUUUCGUCAUAAUUUUUUUAUUAAUCUCCACUUUGGCUAAGGUAAAUGUUUAUUUAAAACAUUUUGAUUUCAGUUCCAGAUAGUUGAGUUAGUUAGCAUCUUAAUCUUUGUGUUAAUGUUUCAAGUAUUCUGAUGAGUAAGUAAGCCAGACCAAGGAUUCGAUUGGGGCCAGCAAUGGUCUCCGAGUUACGCCCAUAUCCGAGGUGUAGGCUCGGGGCUUGAAAGUGCACUACUGUAAAAAAUAUGUGAUGAAAUUUUGUGUGAAGCAUGAAAUACUAUUGAUGAUUCUAAAUUUUUGGAACUGCGCUAAUAUUAACAUUGGCUUUAGCUUGUUUCUUUUAAAUUUUGCACUGAUGGAAUGGAUAAUCCUCACUAUAAUUGAUAUCUUAAUAUUUGCCGAUAUAUUGAUUUAAUUGUAUUAAUGAUAUUGUCUAAUUUUUUAUUUGUUGAUGGAUUCCUCUGAUUGUUGAAUUGAGUACUUGUUUAUUCCAUUUUGCUAUAAGUUUGAGUUGGUUGUUUUCUUGUCAAUUUGUUCAUUCGCCUAAUUACGGUAAGUAUAUAGAAUUGAUUUUGUAGAGAAGUAAGAAUAUUGCUCUUGGUUGAUUGUGUAACUUUAUUUUAGCGGUAUGCUUUAUCAAUUUAGGGU